rnacentral:rRNA from 1 species
GACGAACGCUGGCGGCGUGCUUAACACAUGCAAGUCGAACGGAAAGGCCCUGCUUUUGUGGGGUGCUCGAGUGGCGAACGGGUGAGUAACACGUGAGUAACCUGCCCUUGACUUUGGGAUAACUUCAGGAAACUGGGGCUAAUACCGGAUAGGAGCUCCUGCUGCAUGGUGGGGGUUGGAAAGUUUCGGCGGUUGGGGAUGGACUCGCGGCUUAUCAGCUUGUUGGUGGGGUAGUGGCUGACCAAGGCUUUGACGGGUAGCCGGCAUGAGAGGGUGGCCGGGCACAUUGGGACUGCGGGACGGACCAGACUCCUACGGGCCGCAGCAGGGGGGAAUAUUGCACAGUGGGCGGGAGCCUGAUGCAGCAACGCCGCGUGCGGGAUGACGGCCUUCGGGUUGUAAACCGCUUUCGCCUGUGCCGAAGCGUGAGUGACGGUAAUGGGUAAGGAAGCACCGGCUAACUACGUG